ensembl:snoRNA
AAGACGUGCUCAGAACAGGGAGCCUGAAGAAUGGCUUCUGUUUAUAACACCGCCAACGGGAAUCUGGGAUCACUGUAAUGAGGGGCACAAAACUUGUGGCGUCCCUACAAAGCAAUUCCUAAACGU